ACUCCCGUUGAGUAGCGGUCAAUCUCACAGGGCUUUGGACCCUGUGACGGCGGUUCAAAUCCGCCCGGGAGUU
rnacentral:tRNA from 1 species